UGCAGUCGAACGAUGAUGCCCAGCUUGCUGGGUGGAUUAGUGGCGAACGGGUGAGUAAUACGUGAGUAACCUGCCCUUGACUCUGGGAUAAGCCUGGGAAACUGGGUCUAAUACUGGAUACUACCUCUUGCCGCAUGGUGGGUGGUGGAAAGGGUUUUACUGGUUUUGGAUGGGCUCACGGCCUAUCAGCUUGUUGGUGGGGUAAUGGCUCACCAAGGCGACGACGGGUAGCCGGCCUGAGAGGGUGACCGGCCACACUGGGACUGAGACACGGCCCAGACUCCUACGGGAGGCAGCAGUGGGGAAUAUUGCACAAUGGGCGGAAGCCUGAUGCAGCGACGCCGCGUGAGGGAUGACGGCCUUCGGGUUGUAAACCUCUUUCAGUAGGGAAGAAGCGAGAGUGACGGUACCUGCAGAAGAAGCGCCGGCUAACUACGUGCCAGCAGCCGCGGUAAUACGUAGGGCGCAAGCGUUGUCCGGAAUUAUUGGGCGUAAAGAGCUCGUAGGCGGUUUGUCGCGUCUGCUGUGAAAGCCCGGGGCUCAACCCCGGGUCUGCAGUGGGUACGGGCAGACUAGAGUGCAGUAGGGGAGACUGGAAUUCCUGGUGUAGCGGUGAAAUGCGCAGAUAUCAGGAGGAACACCGAUGGCGAAGGCAGGUCUCUGGGCUGUUACUGACGCUGAGGAGCGAAAGCAUGGGGGAGCGAACAGGAUUAGAUACCCUUGGUAGUCCAUGCCCGUAAACCGUUGGGCACUAAGGUGUGGGGGGACAUUCCCACCGUUUUCCCGCCGCCGUNAGCUAACCGCAUUAAAGUGGCCCCGCCUGGGGGAGUACGGGCCGCAAAGGCUAAAAACUCCAAAAGGAAUUUGACGGGGGGCCCCGCACAAAGCGGGCGGAAGCAUUGCGGGAUUAAAUUCCGAUUGCAACC
rnacentral:rRNA from 1 species